rnacentral:rRNA from 1 species
AACGAACGCUGGCGGCAGGCUUAACACAUGCAAGUCGAACGCAUCCUUCGGGGUGAGUGGCAGACGGGUGAGUAACGCGUGGGAACGUGCCCUUCAGUUCGGGAUAACCCAGGGAAACUUGGGCUAAUACCGGAUACGUGCGAGAGCAGAAAGAUUUAUCGCUGAAGGAUCGGCCCGCGUCUGAUUAGCUAGUUGGUGGGGUAAUGGCCCACCAAGGCGACGCUCAGUAGCUGGUAUGAGAGGAUGAUCAGCCACAUUGGGACUGAGACACGGCCCAAACUCCUACGGGAGGCAGCAGUGGGGAAUAUUGGACAAUGGGCGCAAGCCUGAUCCAGCCAUGCCGCGUGAGUGAUGAAGGCCUUGGGGUUGUAAAGCUCUUUCGUCCGGGACGAUAAUGACGGUACCGGAAGAAGAAGCCCCGGCUAACUUCGUGCCAGCAGCCGCAGUAA